GGCGAACGGGUGAGUAACACGUGAGUAACCUGCCCUUAACUCUGGGAUAAGCCUUGGAAACGGGGUCUAAUACUGGAUAUUGACUUACUGCCGCAUGGUGGAAAGUUGAAAGAUUUAUUGGUUUUGGAUGGACUCGCGGCCUAUCAGCUUGUUGGUGAGGUAAUGGCUCACCAAGGCGACGACGGGUAGCCGGCCUGAGAGGGUGACCGGCCACACUGGGACUGAGACACGGCCCAGACUCCUACGGGAGGCAGCAGUGGGGAAUAUUGCACAAUGGGCGAAAGCCUGAUGCAGCGACGCCGCGUGAGGGAUGACGGCCUUCGGGUUGUAAACCUCUUUCAGUAGGGAACAAGGCCAGUGUUUAGCUGGUUGAGGGUACUUGCAGAAGAAGCGCCGGCUAACUACGUGCCAGCAGCCGCGGUAAUACGUAGGGCGCAAGCGUUAUCCGGAAUUAUUGGGCGUAAAGAGCUCGUAGGCGGUUUGUCGCGUCUGCCGUGAAAGUCCGGGGCUCAACCCCGGAUCUGCGGUGGGUACGGGCAGACUAGAGUGAUGUAGGGGAGACUGGAAUUCCUGGUGUAGCGGUGAAAUGCGCAGAUAUCAGGAGGAACACCGAUGGCGAAGGCAGGUCUCUGGGCAUUAACUGACGCUGAGGAGCGAAAGCAUGGGGAGCGAACAGGAUUAGAUACCCUGGUAGUCCAUGCCGUAAACGUUGGGCACUAGGUGUGGGGGACAUUCCACGUUUUCCGCGCCGUAGCUAACGCAUUAAGUGCCCCGCCUGGGGAGUACGGCCGCAAGGCUAAAACUCAAAGGAAUUGACGGGGGCCCGCACAAGCGGCGGAGCAUGCGGAUUAAUUCGAUGCAACGCGAAGAACCUUACCAAGGCUUGACAUGAACUGGAAACACCUGGAAACAGGUGCCCCGCUUGCGGUCGGUUUACAGGUGGUGCAUGGUUGUCGUCAGCUCGUGUCGUGAGAUGUUGGGUUAAGUCCCGCAACGAGCGCAACCCUCGUUCUAUGUUGCCAGCACGUAAUGGUGGGGACUCAUAGGAGACUGCCGGGGUCAACUCGGAGGAAGGUGAGGACGACGUCAAAUCAUCAUGCCCCUUAUGUCUUGGGCUUCACGCAUGCUACAAUGGCCGGUACAAUGGGUUGCGAUACUG
rnacentral:rRNA from 1 species